UGACGAGUCCCAAAUAGGACGAAACGCGCGUCCUGGAU
rfam:Schistosoma rodhaini strain Burundi genome assembly, scaffold: SROB_scaffold0006270